AAAUUGAAGAGUUUGAUCAUGGCUCAGAUUGAACGCUGGCGGCAGGCCUAACACAUGCAAGUCGAACGGUAACAGGAAGGAGCUUGCUUCUUUGCUGACGAGUGGCGGACGGGUGAGUAAUGUCUGGGAAACUGCCUGAUGGAGGGGGAUAACUACUGGAAACGGUAGCUAAUACCGCAUAACGUCGCAAGACCAAAGAGGGGGACCUUCGGGCCUCUUGCCAUCGGAUGUGCCCAGAUGGGAUUAGCUAGUAGGUGGGGUAACGGCUCACCUAGGCGA
rnacentral:rRNA from 1 species